rnacentral:rRNA from 1 species
ACACGACUACGAGUUUGAUCCUGGCUCAGAUUGAACGCUGGCGGCAGGCUUAACACAUGCAAGUCGAACGCUCGUAGCAAUACGGGAGUGGCGGACGGGUGAGUAACGCGUGGGAACGUGCCCUGAGGUACGGAAUAACUGCGGGAAACUGCAGCUAAUACCGUAUGAGCCCCGUGAGGGGGAAAGAUUUAUCGCCUUAGGAGCGGCCCGCGUCGGAUUAGCUAGUUGGUGGGGGUAAAGGCUCACCAAGCCGACGAUCUGUAGCUGGUCUGAGAGGACGACCAGCCACACUGGGACUGAGACACGGCCCAGACUCCUACGGGAGGCAGCAGUGGGGAAUUUUGGACAAUGGGCGCAAGCCUGAUCCAGCAACGCCGCGUGCAGGAUGAAGGCCUUCGGGUUGUAAAGCUCUUUUACCCGAGAUGAUAAUGACAGUAUCGGGAGAAUAAGCUCCGGCUAACUCCGUG